GUUCUUCUUUAAUUAUGGCAUAGGCAGUAUCUCUUAAAGCACAGGCUCUAUGCCUAAUAAGACGAUCUAUGAAUCGUUUCACUUCUUCUGCUGUCAGUGAUCUUGGCUCAGGUGGUGGUGCUACUGGGAGUACCUCCAAAGCCUGCAAAACUUCACAUGAAUGGAAGAGUAGAGAUGAGAUUUCACUGUGUUAGCCAGGAUGGUCUC